CCUCUCUACCCAGAAACCUCCGACCUUCAGCUGUCCAGCACCAGAAUCCUUGAAGCGGUGCAGUACGAACUCAUCAGUACCGAGAGGACUUAGCGCGGUGCAGCCCCAGGUCUUCAACACCAAGAAUCCCCAGAGGCGUGGGCAAAGGUCUUAGGUACAGAGAUCCGUGGCGCAGCUCCACCUCCCGGGACUGCACGUCCCAGAACCCCCAUUUCGGCCCAUGCCUGCAGUUCCUGAGUCGAGUCCCCAAACCACAGGGGCUGCCUUUUGCCUCAGCUUCAAGUGAAGCCUCCUUGGAUGCUGAAGCUGCACGGCCUCUACCCAGUUGCUGGGAUGGACGUUCUGGGAGCAUCUGCUGCACAGCCGUGCUGCAACUCGCAUCUAGGGCCCCACGUUCCUUUCUGGGUGGAGAAGUUCAUCUCCAUAUCAAUGGGUAAUUACCUGGGCAACAGGGCUUAUCUGUACCAGAGAGGUGAGGGGGAGGACCCGUGUGGUUGCUGCUUGAGCAGAGAAGAAAGACGUCUGGGACUGCAGUUUGUGAUCAAUAAACAGGUUUUAAACU